rnacentral:tRNA from 1 species
CCCGGGUACGGGCCGGUUGGCCGGAGCCGCGUACGGCGGCCCGGGUACCGGCCGGUUGGCCGGGGCCGCGUGCGGCGGCCCGGGUACGGGCC